AAGUCGUAACAAGGUUUCCGUAGGUGAACCUGCGGAAGGAUCAUUAUUGUAUAGCCGAGGUGCGAGGGCUGUCGCUGACCCGAAAGGUCGUGCACGCCCGAGUGCCCUCACACACAUCCAUCUCACCCCUAUGUGCACCACCGCGUGGGUCCCCCUUUGGCUUGUUCGGAGGGGGGCUUACGUUUUCACACAAACUUUGUAUGCAGUGUAGAAUGUAUUUUUUGUUUUUGCGAUCACGCAAUCAAUACAACUUUCAACAACGGAUCUCUUGGCUCUCGCAUCGAUGAAGAACGCAGCGAAAUGCGAUACGUAAUGUGAAUUGCAGAAUUCAGUGAAUCAUCGAAUCUUUGAACGCACCUUGCGCCCCUUGGCAUUCCGAGGGGCACACCCGUUUGAGUGUCGUGAAAUUCUCAAAAACCUUUUUCUUUUUGGGAAAGGGUUUUUGGACUUGGAGGCUUUUUGCUGGCUUCACCUUGAAGUGAGCUCCUCCUAAAUGAAUCAGUGGGGUCCGCUUUGCCGAUCCUUGACGUGAUAAGAUGUUUCUGCGUCUUUGGGUUUGGCACUGUCACCUGCUUCUAACUGUCUCAUUGACAAUGAUGGUGCUCCGGUCACCACCGCUCUUAUCGGUGGGAGGCUUGACCCACAAAAACAAAACCUUGACCUCAAAUCGGGUGAGACUACCCGCUGAACUUAAGCAUAUCAAUAAGCGGAGGAAAAGAAACUAACAAGGAUUCCCCUAGUAACUGCGAGUGAAGCGGGAAAAGCUCAAAUUUAAAAUCUGGUGGCCUUUGGCCAUCCGAGUUGUAAUUUA
rnacentral:misc_RNA from 1 species